AAUAAUUUGAAUCUACAUCUUAAUCUAUAUCUCACAGUAAGUAAGAUAUAUAGUGAAAUUAAACACGUCGUUAUGUUUAAAAAGAAUUUGAAAUUAAAAUCAUUUACGCUAACAACUGCGCGCCUUGAACCAUCGUAAAAAUAUCGGAUUUUUUUUCCUAAAUAACGACCCUUUUUCCGGUCGUUAGUUAUAAACAUAUUUUUUUGAAAAAAAUAAAAAUAUAACUAUCGUAAUUCGGUUGUUAGGCCCGCCAUUUUAAUGAUCGUUGUUAUUUCCGGUCGUUGCUUGCAUAUUUUCUUGUAGUGACAUUUGUACUAUUUUGAAUUUGGUGGCAUCUCUAGAUUGAUUGAUUUCUUGCCACCCAUUUUGAUGUAGAUAGAGGCUGCUGGUGUACGUAGCUAGUGGUAGUGGUAAACUGUAACCCUACCUCAGUAUACCAAAUAGGCAAAUAUUUCUAUAAAUAGCAUCAAGGAAGAGAGUGAAGAAUACCAUUAGAGAGAGAGAGCUAGAGAUGGAGAGAGAAGUAAAACACAUGGUGUUGGCAAAGUUCAAAGAAGGCGUAUCUAAGGAAGAGAUUGAAGAAUGCAUAAAACAGUUUGCCAACCUUGUCGAUCUUGUUCCUUCAAUGAAGGCUUUCAAAUGGUGCUAUAUUCAUUCUUAUUUUUCUUCACUUCACACACACACAUACAACAAAUACAUAAUAUAACCUUUCAACCUUAUGUAAAGAUUCAAUUAAAUAUGUAUGAAUCGGUGCAACUGUUCUUUACUUGAAGUUGUUGUGUGGCAGGGCUAAAGAGCUGAGCAUUGUGAAUUUUCAUCAAGGUUUCACACAUGUCUUUGAAGCAAUAUUCGAGAGUGCAGAAGAUGUUGGAGAUUAUCUUGCUAAUCAAAAUCACGUCGACUAUGGAAACUUUUUGAUGCCUCGACUAGACAAGUUCAUUAUAAUCGAUUUCGAGCCCACAAAUAUCCAACCCUAAUUUAGCAAGGGUGUGACUAAUACUACAUAUUUAUUUAUCUAAGUAAUUCCAUUUAUGUUGAUCAAAUAAGAGUUGUCAUUUUGUUGACAAUGUGUUCUCUAGUUGCACCUCUAUUUCAAGAUUGUGGUCCUUUUGCUGCAAGUUGUGGAAUUUUUUCUUGUAAAAGUUAUAUUGUCGAGAUUUGAUGUUAGUAUCAUACCUCAAAUUUCCAUUUAUGGUUUUCAAAUGUGUUUUCUAAUUGCACCUUUAUUUCAAUUGUGUUCCUUUUGGCAAUGGUUGUGGAAGUUUUAAUUUCUUGUAAAACUUAUAUAUAUUGUCGAGAUUUUUGAUGUUGGUAUUAUACAUCAAGUUUAUGAUUCUACAAUUUUACAAUUUGUUGGUGUCGGACUUUUACCUAUUUUACAAUUUCAACUUAAUUAGCUUUUUAAAUGUUAUAAAUAAGUAUCCAAUCUUUCAUUUUUUUUGCAAUUAAACUUCACUUUUUUUUUCUUCUUUUUUUGACAAUUCAAACUUUCAAAUUUAUGUUGCUCAAACCCUUGAAUAAAAAAAUUAAAAGCUGAUCUCUAAAGGUUCCGAGGAGAAUAUCAUAAUAGAAUAUGGGCCGAAGUCUAAUAUAUUUCACGAUGCUGAUGAAUUUCAUUUGAGUAUUUUUCAAUAGCAUUUAAAUUAGGAGUCUAAUUUUAACGUGGUGAAUGCCGAUAUUAAAAUAUUAAAAUAACCUCAAGCCUGUUUAAAGUACAAAUUUAUUUAACUUUUAUAAAUAUUGAGAAUAAAUGAGAUUUAAAAUAAAGGAGAAAGUUAUUAAAAUGAAAACACUAUAAUUUUUAUAGAUGAAGCAAUAUGGUAAUACGAUUAUAAAUUUCGUGGACGAAGGCAGCACCUAUUAAGUCAUUAGAAAAUAGUAUAGUUUAUUAUAUUUUGUAACUAAAUUGAGUUUUGAUGGGCUAUAAAUCUUGCAAUGAGUCAUAUUCAUCUAAGAUAGUGAUUACAUUGGGCUUUUACUCUGCACAAUCGUACUACAUUUUCUAGGCCUACAACCAAUCCAUCAAAUAAUAUUUGUGUGAGAGGUGUCUCAUAAUUAAACGCACUAAGAUUCAGAUCCAAAUUUAUUUAUAUUUCAAUGGCAUAUUUAUAGUAUUUGUAAUUGUAAACAUGUAUUGAAAUUAAAAAUAAUUUGAAUCUGAAUCUGAAUCUAUCUCCACAGUAAUUAAGUAAAUUAAUGUAACACAACAUUCUCCCUAUUUUGAAUAUGCUGAUGUGGCAGGUUGAUUUCUUGCCAUCAUUUUUGAAGAUUUAAUUAGAGGCGGCCAGUGGUAGUGGUAAAAUAAAAUGUAUUAUACCAAAUACUUUGGUAGUGGUAUACCAAAUAUUUCUAUAAAUAGUAGUAUUAAGAUGAGAGUGAAGAAUGCAAUUGAAAUUAAGUGAGUGAGAGAGAGAGAGAGAGAGAGAUGGAGGAGAGCAAGAGAGAAGUAAAACACAUAGUGUUGGCAAAGUUCAAAGAAGGCUUAUCUAAGGAAGAGAUUGAAGAAUGCAUCAAACAGUUUGCCAACCUUGUCGAUCUUGUUCCUUCUAUGAAGGCUUUCAAAUGGUGCUACAAUCAUUCUUAUCAUUCCUCACUUCACACACACAUACAACAAAUACAUAAUAAACUUUCAAUCUUAUGUAAAGAUUCAAUUAAAUCUCUAUGAAUUGGUGCAAUUGUCUUUACUUGAAGUUGUUGCGUGGCAGGGGUAAAGAGCUGAGCAUUAUAAACUUUCAUCAAGGUUUCACACAUGUCUUUGAAUCAAUAUUCGAGACUACAAAAGGCGUUGAAGAUUAUCUUUCUGAUCAAAAUCACGUUGACUACGGAAACUUUUUGAUGCCUCAACUAGACAAGUUCCUUAUAAUCGAUUUCGAGCCCACGAAGGUCCAACCCUAAAUUACCAAGGGUGUGACUAAUACUAUAUAAAUAUAUCUAUCUAGUUUCCAUUUAUGUU
rnacentral:lncRNA from 1 species